AAUCGUCUUCUGUGACUUUCAUAUGCUGUGGUUUUUUCCGGAAUAAAAAAUCGUAAAAUAAAAAAAAUAUUUGUUAGAUAUGAUUUCAAUUUUCCUCUGUUGUGGUUAAAAGCUGAAUCAAGCUCUCUUCUUAAAACUUGUGGCCCCACCUUAAAAUUGUAAACCAAUGGGAAAAUUUUGUUUUAUGUACCACCGGUCCUCCGUAUCUUCCACCCCAGACGCGUUUGUUAAGUUUUUUCCAGAAUCAAUUUUGUAAAAUAAAAAAAAAGGGAAAAAAUCGUCUUCUCUCUUCAUCGUGUUUCUUCUGCCUCUCUUCUCUCAGUUCUUUUCUACAAUUCCAUCUCUGAUCUUCGGUGGUUCGUUCUGUUUAUUGCACGAUUAAAAAAAAUAUGGUAGCAUCGAUUUUGAUAUUGAUCGUUUUCUCUGUUGUGGGUGUAUUAUUGCACGAUUAAAACAAAUAAAUAGUAGCAGCGCAUGCAGACGAAGAAAGAACAGUAGAUGAUAAUAUAAUUGAUACCGAUAAGAAUAAAAGAGAAGAAUUUUUACGAAGUAAGAGGAUGAAAGGGUACACUUGAUAUGUGCAAGAAAUAACCAGGAAAAUCUAUCACAAAUCUCGGUUCAAAAAUAAUUUUGAAUUCAAGAAUGAACUCACAGUGGUAGCUAAACCCUGAAUUGCCAAUUUAUAUCAUACUUUAAUUAUGCUCGGAGACAUGUUACCAAGGAUGUUUUUGUGAUUGCUGGAUUAAGUGUAGCAGAAUCAUCUACAAGCCAACUGUAGCUUCUAUCCCUAUGGUUAGCUGGAGAUAAUGGGUGUUAUCAUGCACGGAAAUGCUACUAUUGAUGUAGAGAAGCUGGACCCUUCAAAAGCAAAGAUAUAUGCAUGUCCAAGUUUAUUACAUUAGCUUUUGCAGUUAAUUUCACAAAAGCAUAGGCCAGUCAGAGGCAGAACUUCAAAGUUGUUGGAAUAUGCGCGAAAAUUUCUAAACAAGAUGCUCAUAAAAGUACAUCAACUUUGUCGGCUAUACAUACAAGAACUUUGGGUUUGUUAAGGAUCAUCAGGUACCUGGAUUUGGGUUCUCAUUACCAUCAUUGGCGUCUUGGCUCGAUUGGUAGAGUGCGUGACAUUCUGCCCCGAGGAUGUGGGUUCGACUCACACAGAUGGCAACCAACAUGAAAAAAUAAUCAAUUAUCACAAUACCAAUUUUAGGAUUACAAUGAAUUCUUAUCGUGUUAGACUUUAUUAUUUUUAAUUAAUUAAUCUUUUUUCAAAAAGAUUAUACAAAGUUUUUGGUUGGUAACUUAGCAACAAGUUGGGUCCCAACUUCCUUUUGAAUAACAAUGCCUAAUCUAUAAAAAAUGAAACUACUUUUAAUA